UACGGAGGGUGCAAGCGUUAUCCGGAUUCACUGGGUUUAAAGGGUGCGUAGGUGGGGUGGUAAGUCAGUGGUGAAAUCUCCGAGCUUAACUUGGAAACUGCCAUUGAUACUAUCAUUCUUGAAUAUUGUGGAGGUCAGCGGAAUAUGUCAUGUAGCGGUGAAAUGCUUAGAUAUGACAUAGAACACCAAUUGCGAAGGCAGCUGGCUACUCAUAUAUUGACACUGAGGCACGAAAGCGUGGGGAUCAAACAGG
rnacentral:rRNA from 1 species